rnacentral:rRNA from 1 species
GUCCACGCCGUAAACGAUGGAUGCUAGCCGUUGGUAAGCAUGCUUAUCAGUGGCGCAGCUAACGCAUUAAGCGUCCCGCCUGGGGAGUACGGCCGCAAGGUUGAAACUCAAAGGAAUUGACGGGGGCCCGCACAAGCGGUGGAGCAUGUGGUUUAAUUCGACGCAACGCGCAGAACCUUACCAGGGUUUGACAUCCCGCGCUAAACCCAGAGAUGGGUGGUCCCCGCAAGGGGCGCGGAGACAGGUGCUGCAUGGCUGUCGU